CAGUCGCCGCGGUAAUACGGAGGGUGCAAGCGUUAUCCGGAUUUAUUGGGUUUAAAGGGUCCGUAGGCGGAUCUGUAAGUCAGUGGUGAAAUCUCACAGCUUAACUGUGAAACUGCCAUUGAUACUGCAGGUCUUGAGUAAAUUUGAAGUGGCUGGAAUAAGUAGUGUAGCGGUGAAAUGCAUAGAUAUUACUUAGAACACCAAUUGCGAAGGCAGGUCACUAAGAUUUAACUGACGCUGAUGGACGAAAGCGUGUGGAGCGAACAGGAUUAGAUACCCCUGUAGUCCCUGUCUCUUAUAC
rnacentral:rRNA from 1 species